rnacentral:rRNA from 1 species
UACGUAGGCAGCGAGCGUUGUUCGGAAUUACUGGGCGUAAAGAGUGUGUAGGCGGUGCUCUAAGUUUGGUGUGAAAUCUCCCGGCUUAACUGGGAGGGUGCGCCGAAGACUGGAGUGCUCGAGUGUGGGAGAGGAAAGCGGAAUUCCUGGUGUAGCGGUGAAAUGCGUAGAUAUCAGGAGGAACACCUGUGGUGUAGACGGCUUUCUGGACCAUUACUGACGCUGAGACACGAAAGCGUGGGUAGCAAACAG